AAUAAGCAUUAAUCAUAAGGACUUUUAAUUUUUCAUGUGACGUUUCGAUCAUAGUUAACGGUAUUUUUGACCAUUAUGAUAAUUGGCUUAUGAUAAUAAACAAAAUACAGAUAUGAAUAAUUGAUAGUUGGCAUAUGAGGUCUUACAAAGUAUUGACACGGAUGAUUGACGUGUGAUAUGUAAAAUGAUGGCCAUGUUGAUGACAAUGUUGUUUUGAUGAGGACGUUCAUGGGUGUUACAAUGAUGAUGAAAUGAAGUUGUUCAAGUGGGCAUCAGCAGAGUAAAGCAGGAAAUGGCGGGAAGAAUCCUAGCAGACGACAGUUGUCGCGCAGACUGCCCGAAAUUACAGGCUGACCCAGAACUAUACUGGACUCGCUUUCAGCAGAAAGGAAAUCAUAACUUUGUAACGUAGCAGACGACAAUAAAUUUUAAAGUGGAAAUUUGCGACUUCCGGUGUGUCUGCUACUCGAUGUUGUGAUCUCAGUUACUUCCCCUGACGUUCAGUAUAUGAAAUGAGGGUCGAGUUUCAGGAUUUGAAAUUAAGAAAGAACGAAAGAUAUGAAAUGAGCACCGGCAAACUGAUCUUGGCAUGUUACAUCCUUAUCACAGAACUGGAACCUACUGAUUAUGAUGAGGUGUAUCGGUGAUCAAUACGGAACAUGGUAAAUUGAGCAGGUGAAGGAAUGAAGAAAACACCACCCUCUUUACAGUCAGCAAAAUAACUAUGCUUCCGGUUUGGAACUACUGCAUGCCGUUACAACAUAUGUGACAAAGAGAUUUUAAUCCACCUGAUACGAUUUGGUAUCUUUCUGAAAAUGUCAUGUUCAAAUUCUGAAUGGUGUUUUUUUCUGCCAAGUUUAAGAAAUAUAUUACCAUGUAACUGUCUAAUAUUUAUGGCAAUUAUGAAGUAAUAGUGAGUUUUUGGCGUAGUAAUAAAAACCAUAAAAGGUGUUACCUCGAUUGGAUUUUCUACAUGAGCUUGAAAAAAUAACACCUUCAUGAAUGCCUUGAUGUGAACAGAAUAGAAGGGAUAUUUUAUUUGCUUUUUACAUUGUACAUCUUCUAUUUAACAUACUGUACCGUCAAUGAAUUGAAAUUGCAAUAAUGAGUAUAAUUGCAAUAAUGAAUAAUGCACUUUUUUGCAAUGUAUAUUUCAAGUGGUGUAAUAAGUAAAAUUUGAUCAGGAAUGCACAUUUAUUAAGACUUAAUAUAUAUGCAAACAUACUGUACCGUUAACAUAAUAGCAAAAGUAAAAUUGCAGAAAUGAAUGAUGCGCAUUUUUUACAAUGUAGAUUUCAAGAAGUGUAAUAAGUAACAUUUAAUAGUUAAUAAAGACAUACUAGGCCGUACAAUGAGAAAUAAUGAUAAUUUAACAACGUCUUGAUAGAAACAUCCAUUUGAAAUUUCUUAAGAUUUAGAUGAUAAUAAUAACACCAAGAAUAUUACCAACAUAACAACAUUAAUGAAACAUAAUAAAAAUUCCAACGAUGAAAUAUUUCAUCAUUCAAAAACAUGCAAUGAUGAAAAAAUAUAAUAAAAUAUUAAAAGAAUUGUAAUAACGACCAGAAGAGCAAUAAUGAAAUAAAAGAAUGAAAUAACAAUAUGAAUGAAAUAAAAUAAAAAACAUUAAAAUGAAAUAAACAAUAAUGAAAUAAAAUGAAAACAAAAAUAAUGAAAUAAGAUAAAAUAGAAACAAUAAAAUAAAAGUAAACAAAAAAUGAAAAUAAAAAAUGAAAAUAAGGUAACAAGAAAUGGAAUGAAAGAAUAUUAUUGUCACAAGUGACCAUUUAGUUGUUUACCUAUAACAUGCUUGACCUUAAAGUGACCAGCCUUUGCCACCAGUAUGCAGCCAGACCAACCUGCACGUCCGUUCAGAUUGACCAGGCUCUAAACCGUUGGCUGACCAAUUUCAAAUUUGAUUUUAUUCAAGUUAUAUUCCCUAAAUUGAGAAUGAACGUAUUCAGAAACGGAAGCUGGACAAGUCCGCUUCCGAUAAUAUUAUCAACCAUAUACAUGAUAUAAUGUGUUCCUUUAUAUUUUGAAGUAUCAUUUGUUUCAUUUUUUAUCUUUUAAAUGCUUUAAAUAAGGAGUCACAAAGGGUUACUUUAUCAUUUUCAUUUCCAAGCAUAUCCUCGUGCGUUUCAUCGCCGGAUAGCCACUGAUAAA